GUGCUCACCUCGGCAGCACAUGUACUAAAAUUGGAAUGAUACAGAGAAGAUUAGCAUGGCCCCUGCUCAAGGAUGACACGCAAACUUGUGAAGCGUUCCAUAUUUUA
ensembl:snRNA U6 U6 spliceosomal RNA